CCAGUCAAAAUUGCCUGCUUGGACAAAUACGAGGUGAUAAAGUGAAGAAACACAGCUCAAGUGUCAGGAAAACAUUCUCUAAUUGCACAAGUAGUAAAAUCAUGGCAUGGAUUACUUGGGGAGAAGGUGGCAUAUUCUUGUCUGAAUUUUUGCAAGAAAAAGUGUGAUGAAUGUUUUUCAGAGAUGGUCUAAGUUAUUUAUUCUGUUUUAGAGCAAGGAAAAAGAUUAAAUAAGUGACGCUCCAGGUGGCUUCUAGGCAUGGGUUUUUUAGAUUCUCUUAAGUGGGCACUUUGGGUCUUUUAAGAUCACUGCUUCUUGGGUGGGGUCAGCACAAGAAUAGACAUUGUACUGUGGGAAUUUUCCUUCAGGCAGAUGGUCAUACAAGAAAAAGUUGUGGGUUUUACUGAAAACAGUUAUUCUUUACCUGCUCUCCAGAACUUCAGACAAGAAUGCCCAGCUUCCCAGGUUGAAAUACUGUGCAUCAGAUAGUAUAAGCAUUCCUGGAAGACACAACAGAUUAUGUGAAAGUGUUAAAAUGUUUUUGCAUGAGCAUCAUUUUUAUUGAAGAGUUGUGCUCCAAUGAUGAGGAACAAAGGUAGGGCAUGUGAUAGAAAUGUGCAGUGUAAACAGCUCACAUGGCUCCUAGCAAUUGCAUGGUUUUGAUUGGAUAAUAGACCAUGAACUGUAUUUGUGAAAAUUAUUCAGCAGUUUCAAAACCCACAAAUAUUUAGGAAAGCUGUGCCUUUCUGGAGGCACCUGGCAACCAGAUAAAGAACCAAAGUUCAUUAAUAGAUGAGUCAUUGCUUCUAUGUCCGUGCCUGAGAUAUCCACAUAAACUCUCACUGGCUUCAGCAGGUGGUGUGGUCAGACUAAAGGACAGUGUGGUCUCUGGGCCAGGUUCUGGCCUGACUUCAGGCUCACACUGAUUUGUUGGUGAUUUUAAGCAAACAGAGAAAAAAGAAUGCCUCAGCUGACAAGGUUCAUUAGCACUCCUCUUUCUCCCCUUCCUCUUCUCAUCCCAUCACUCUCAUUGCUUCUUCUGCUCCUUGUAGGGCCAGGGACUUGCUGUCCCUUUUUCUGGGUAGUGACCACAUGGCCAAUCUCUCUGCAAAGCCCUGACUUGCUGGUGAUAGCCACAGAACUUCAUGGCCAUCACGGGUUUCUUCCAGACUACCUUGUCCUUGCUACAUGGAUGAUUGUUGCUCAUGAAGCAGGGUCUGCUUUCAAUAGAACUUUCAAUAGUUCUCUGUAUUUUAUGUUGAGUUACAGAAGUACUGAUCUAGUUGACUACAUGGAUUUGCAACCAGCAGCUCAGCAGCUGCUUCAUGAACCAUCCUUCCAGGACGGGAACAUCACAAAGAUGGAUUCCUUUAGCAAGGAAGAUAUGACAGGUUGUGAUAUUGGACUGCAGUGAAGUUCCGCCGGUGCUGUUCUACCCUUCAUGAGUGAGCACUGCUGGGCUGUGCAGCUGACAAGCUCGUGCCCUUUUUUUGGGAGUAGGCUGAAUCAAGCCUCUGUCAAGAAGCACAGCUGAAAUACUGAAUUAACAUACCCAAGACCAGCACAUCAGGAGGACAGCCUUCUACCAAGAAUAAUGUGGAGAUAUACCUUGUUCACGGAAGCUCUGGAAACAUCGUGAGACUUGGACAGACACAGUGCAUCCUCAGAAGGCAGAGAUGUUGCUGCUCUCUGAGCAUUGCACACUCUGUGUUCAUGCCUGAUGGAAAUAAUGCCCAGUUUUGGGGGAGCUUGGUGGUAUGGGAGACAGUCACAGCAGCUCUAAUAGGGUGGCUUAUCACUUUCUUGUGAAGCCAGGUACAGAUUCUGUUCUCUUUUACACCCACAAAUCUGGUAUAAUAUUAAUUAGAUUGUCAUUAGGUUGUAUUAGUGAAGAUCCAUAAAACAAAAAAGAGGAAAGGUUCUAUAGUCAUGCUAAAACUUGGUAUGUCAUUUAUAUGAAGGGGGUGAACAGAGAUCAUUAGCCAUGAAACAUUGCUUUUCCAGAAAUAUGAAAUAUUUAGGUAAAAUAUCUAGGUAAAAUCUAACAAAAAUUUGAUUACUGCCUGAUAAAAUGGUGUCUCUUCCCUUCUAAAUAGAUUUGAUCAUCUCCUUAAUGCAAGCCCUGCACCUUCACCUAGAUUCCUUCCCAGGCAGCUACAGUGGAUCUGCUCACCAAUGGAAUUUGUCCCACUGGAUUCUUUUUUUUUUUUUUCUGUGCAGUUGAAUUAAAAGUGUGUGUCUUUUGAAGAACAGCAACUGAAAGAAAUAUUGAUGACUGCCAGGGCAUCUACAGAAAAAGAUAAGAAAAUUACUCUACUACAACAGUGAAGACAAAGGGGCUUUGUUAACACUUUCUUGUAGGUUGUAUAUAUUAAUAGUAACAAGUAAAGUUUUGUAUUUUUUCAGAGAAACACACAAGGCCUUGAAUUGUAUUGUUUUAAUUGCAACUAACUGAAUGAAUUAAGUGGAAAAUUGCACACAGUACUUUGAUUGUCUAAUUCUCUGUAUGUGAGGCUUUGGGAACAGUUUGUUAUUAUAAAAGAACAGCACUAACCAGAAAUCAGCCAACAUGUAAUUGCUAGGCUGAGGGGCAGUUUGGGGAGAGCUGUUACUUAUUUAUACAUUAUUAAA